rnacentral:rRNA from 1 species
AUACGGAGGGUGCAAGCGUUACUCGGAAUCACUGGGCGUAAAGCGCGCGCAGGCGGCUAUUUAAGUUGGAUGUGAAAGCCUACGGCUCAACCGUAGAACUGCAUCCAAAACUAUUUAGCUAGAGUGUGGGAGAGGAAGUUGGAAUUAGUUGUGUAGGGGUAAAAUCCGUAGAGAUAACUAGGAAUACCAAAAGCGAAGGCAAUCUUCUGGAACACUACUGACGCUGAGGCGCGAAAGCGUGGGGAGCAAACAGGAUUAGAAACCCUUGUAGUCC